rnacentral:rRNA from 1 species
GUGGGGAAUAUUGGGCAAUGGGCGCAAGCCUGACCCAGCAACGCCGCGUGAAGGAAGAAGGCUUUCGGGUUGUAAACUUCUUUUACCAGGGACGAAACAAAUGACGGUACCUGGUGAAUAAGCCACGGCUAACUACGUGCCAGCAGCCGCGGUAAUACGUAGGUGGCAAGCGUUGUCCGGAAUUACUGGGUGUAAAGGGCGUGUAGGCGGGACGGCAAGUCAGAUGUGAAAUACCUCGGCUUAACUGGGGUGCUGCAACUGAAACUGUCGUUCUUGAGUGUCGGAGAGGAAAGUGGAAUUCCCAGUGUAGCGGUGAAAUGCGUAGAGAUUGGGAGGAACACCAGUGGCGAAGGCGGCUUUCUGGACGAUAACUGACGCUGAGGCGCGAAAGCGUGGGUAGCAAACAGGAUUAGAAACCCCAGUAGUCC